UAGGGAAUAUUGGACAAUGGGCGAAAGCCUGAUCCAGCCAUGCCGCGUGAGUGACGAAGGCCUUCGGGUUGUAAAGCUCUUUUGGCGGGGACGAUAAUGACGGUACCCGCAGAAUAAGCUCCGGCUAACUUCGUGCCAGCAGCCGCGGUAAUACGAAGGGAGCUAGCGUUGUUCGGAAUCACUGGGCGUAAAGCGCACGUAGGCGGAUGUGUCAGUCAGGGGUGAAAUCCCGGAGCUCAACUUCGGAACUGCCUUUGAUACAGCACAUCUGGAGUCCGGAAGAGGUGGGUGGAAUUCCUAGUGUAGAGGUGAAAUUCGUAGAUAUUAGGAAGAACACCGGUGGCGAAGGCGGCCCACUGGUCCGGUACUGACGCUGAGGUGCGAAAGCGUGGGGAGCAAACA
rnacentral:rRNA from 1 species